rnacentral:sRNA from 1 species
GAUGCCAGGGUCAAAAGGUCUGGAUCCACGUGAGCUUGCUCAUAAGUGGGGGAAGACCUUGGAACCCGCCCCGAUAUGAGCAUAAAAGUGGGAUGUACAUCCCACGAUAUGCGAAUAUUGGGUAGGAUUGUGGG